AUGAACAAAGCUGGAGGAGGUGAUCGAAUUCCAGUUGAGCUACUUCAAAUCCUCAAAGAUGGUGCUGUGAAAGUGCUGCACUCAAUAUGCCAGCAAAUUUGGACAACUCAGCAGUGGCCACAGGACUGGAAAAGGUCCGUUUUCAUUCCAAUCCCAAAGAAAGGCACUGCCAAAGAAUGCUCAAACUACAGCACAAUUGCACUCAUCUCACAAGCUAUCAAAGUAAUGCUCAAAAUUCUCCAAGCCAGGCUUCAAGAGUAUGUGAAUUUUGAACUUCCAGAUGUUCAAGCUGGUUUUAGAAAAGGCAGAGGAACCAGAGAUCAAAUUGCCAACAUCCGAUGGAUCAUGGAAAAAGCAAGAGAGUUCCAGAAAAACAUCCACUUCUGCUUUAUUGACUAUGCCAAAGCCUUUGACUGUGUGGAUCAUAACAAACUGUGGAACAUUUUUAAAGAGAUGAGGAUUCCAGACCACCUGAGCUGCCUCCUGAGAAAUCUGUAUACAGGUCAAGAAGCAACAAUUAGAACUGGACAUGGAACAGACUGCUUCCAAAUUGGGAAAGGAGAACAUCAAGGCUGUAUACUGUCACCCUGCUUAUUUAACUUAUAUGCAGAGUAUGUCAUGAGAAAUGCUGGACUGGAUGAAGCACAAGCUGGAAUCAAGAUUGCUGGGAGAAAUAUCAAUAACCUCAGAUAUGCAGAUGACACCACCCUUUUGGCAGAAAGUGAAGAAGAACUAAAGAGCCUCUUGAUGAAAGUGAAGGAGGAGAGUGGAAGAUUUGGCUUGAAACUCAACAUUCAGAAAACUAAGAUCAUGGCAUCCGGUCCCAUCACUUUCUGGCAAAUAGAUGGAGAAACAGUGGAAACAGUGACAAACUUUAUUUUAGGGGGCUCCAAAAUCACUGCAGAUGGUGACUGCAGCCAUGAAAUUAAAAGACGCUUGCUCCUUGGAAGAAAAGUUAUGACCAAUGUAGACAGCAUAUUAAAAGGCAGAGACAUAAAUUUGCCAACUAAUUUCCAUCUAAUCAAAGCUAUGGUUUUUCCAGUAGUCAUGUAUAGAUGUGAGAGUUGGACUAUAAAGAAAGCUGAGCGCAGAAGGAUUGAUGCUUUUGAACUGUGGUGUUGGAGAAGACUCUUGAGAGUCUCUUGGAUUGCAAGGAGAUCCAACCAGUCCAUCCUAAAGGAAAUCAUUCCUGAAUAUUCCUUGGAAGGACUGAUGCUAAAGCUGAAACUCCAAUACUUGGGCUACCUGAUGCAAAGAACUGACUCAUUUGAAAGACCUUGA
rnacentral:lncRNA from 1 species